rnacentral:misc_RNA from 1 species
GUGAAUCAUCAAAUUUUUGAACGUAACUGGCACUCCCUGGUAUUCCAAGGAGUAUGCCUGUUUGAGGGUGGUAAGAAGAAAAAUCAUAGCAUCGCUCUUUUUUUUGAGGAUGAAUGCUUCGUAAUUGAGAAGUCUUUCAAAUGUUAAUUUAUGUUAAUGUAGCUUUUAAUACAUUCAUCAGGUACGAUUAAAGCGUAUUUAAGAUCAUUUUCGAUUAAGAACGCUCGAUGACGUACUGUCACA